GCGGAGCCUUUGAGUCCUGACGCGCCUGCGCGUGGCGCCGCGAUGUCAGGCGGCUGCGCUUGCGCAGAACGGGCCGCUGGAACCCGCCUUGUUGGCUCUUUUAGCCACAAGC
ensembl:snoRNA